rnacentral:misc_RNA from 1 species
AGUCGUAACAAGGUUUCCGUAGGUGAACCUGCGGAAGGAUCAUUAACACUUUUGAAUUAAAAAUUCUUUCUUUCUAAUCUUAAUAACACCUGGUUGAACUGAGAAACAAACACACAAUAUUCUUUUGAACUCCUUAACAACGAGUCGUAUCAAAAUCUGAAACCGAACAAACAAAACAUUCAAAAAAUAAAAAACAAACAAAACUAACAAAAAUAAAACAACUCUUAACAAUGGAUAUCUUGGUUCUCGC